rnacentral:lncRNA from 1 species
UAUUUGGAAAGUCAAGAUAAUUCAUGUGAUCUUCAAGAUCAUUAUGAUCGAUCGUUAAAAUUUGUUUCAAUUACCUUCCUUUUUUUCUUUUAUGGAGGUAUGAUACAAAUCUACCAAAUGUUUAGAAGUAUAACAUGUACAUUCUCUUUUCUAUAUUGAUUGUUCCUUUCAUGUCCACGACCACAACCAUAAUUUCCUCUAUGUUUAUCAAAUGAGGUUCCAUUUAC